GCAUUUAAAUGAAAUAAUGCGGCUUCUACAAUCCCCGCUCAUCAGGUGGCUCAGCCUCCAGAGUCUGCCGAUCUCAGUCUGAAAACCGCCAGAAUGGAACCUAUGACCCCUGUGCUGUCCCCUGUGCCCAUGCACAAGCUCCCAAUAAACCUUGCCUGCGUGUCAUCUUGGCCU